rnacentral:rRNA from 1 species
UAGGGAAUCUUCCGCAAUGGGCGAAAGCCUGACGGAGCAACGCCGCGUGAGUGAUGAAGGUCUUCGGAUCGUAAAACUCUGUUAUUAGGGAAGAACAAAUGUGUAAGUAACUAUGCACGUCUUGACGGUACCUAAUCAGAACGCCACGGCUAACUACGUGCCAGCAGCCGCGGUAAUACGUAGGUGGCAAGCGUUAUCCGGAAUUAUUGGGCGUAAAGCGCGCGUAGGCGGUUUUUUAAGUCUGAUGUGAAAGCCCACGGCUCAACCGUGGAGGGUCAUUGGAAACUGGAAAACUUGAGUGCAGAAGAGGAAAGUGGAAUUCCAUGUGUAGCGGUGAAAUGCGCAGAGAUAUGGAGGAACACCAGUGGCGAAGGCGACUUUCUGGUCUGUAACUGACGCUGAUGUGCGAAAGCGUGGGGAUCAAACAGG